ACUACUACACUUAUCGGACCUUGAUCGGAGCGACUUAUUCCGGUUGUUGCGGGGCGCUUGGCUAGAUAAAAUUUGCUUUUGGGGAACGAAGUCCGAACUACGACGCCAUGGCAGCUCUCAUGAAAGGUCGUGUCCUGCAGCUGUGCAGUGUCCUUAGGGAAGGAAGACAUAUUCAGAGUCGCGGAAGGAUUUUUCAGCAGCCGAUUCCCUCCCUCGCUCUCGUCAACGCUAGAUUGAUGUCCAAGGAGUCCACAUAUGAACACAUUUUGGUUGACAAAAAAGGUGAUGGUGGUUGUGUGGGCCUAGUCACUCUGAAUCGCCCAAAGGCUCUCAAUGCUCUGUGUGACCCUUUGAUGAUUGAAUUAAAUGAUGCCCUGAAGACCUUAGAUGCAGAUCCAUCAGUAGCUGCUGUUGUUAUUACUGGUAGUGAAAAAGCCUUUGCUGCAGGUGCAGACAUUAAGCAAAUGGAGAAUAUUGAAUAUGUUGACUGUGUGAAGUCCAAUUUCCUUGCGCAUUGGGACGGCGUAACAAGAAUCCGGAAACCCAUCAUUGCAGCAGUGAAUGGAUACGCUCUGGGUGGUGGCUGUGAAGUCGCUAUGAUGUGUGACAUUAUAUUAGCAGGAGAAAAAGCCAAAUUUGGACAACCAGAAAUUAUCAUUGGCACAAUCCCAGGAGCUGGUGGUUCUCAGCGCCUUGCAAAGGCUAUUGGAAAAUCUCGAGCUAUGCAGAUGUGUCUAACCGGAGAUAUGAUUACGGCACAGCAGGCUAAUGACUGGGGCUUAGUAAGUUCAGUGCACCCUCCAGAUCAGCUUGUAAGUGAAGCUAUCAAAAUUGGAGAAAAAAUUGCAACACAUUCUAAAGUUAUCGUAGGAAUGUGUAAGGAGGCAGUCAACAAAUCUUAUGAAUUGUCACUGAGCGAAGGCCUCAAUUAUGAGAAGAAACUGUUCCAUUCAACUUUUGCUACAAGUGAUCGUGCAGAGGGAAUGAAAGCAUUUGUCCAGAAGAGGAAGCCAGAAUUUACUGACAGCUAAUUUGACUGAACACACAAAAUAUCAGGAUAUAUUUUGCAGAAUACUUCUAUCGCUUCUUGCUGUUCUUGCAGCAACUGAUUCACAGCCCACGAAGUAUCCCAAGGUUUGUUUAGAGGCCAUGGAAAAGUGCAAGAUUUUUCCAAUAGAUUAAGGUAAACGUAUACUAGAAGUAACCAAGAUACAGUUUAAGAAUUUGUAGUAUGCAUAUUCAUUUUAAUAAAGUUGGCAAUUGUUAA